UGGCUCAGAUUGAACGCUGGCGGCAGGCUUAACACAUGCAAGUCGAGCGGGGAAAAGUAGCUUGCUACUUAACUUAGCGGCGGACGGGUGAGUAAUACUUAGGAAUCUGCCUAUUAGUGGGGGACAACAUUUCGAAAGGAAUGCUAAUACCGCAUACGUCCUACGGGAGAAAGCAGGGGAUCACUUGUGACCUUGCGCUAAUAGAUGAGCCUAAGUCGGAUUAGCUAGUUGGUGGGGUAAAGGCCUACCAAGGCGACGAUCUGUAGCGGGUCUGAGAGGAUGAUCCGCCACACUGGGACUGAGACACGGCCCAGACUCCUACGGGAGGCAGCAGUGGGGAAUAUUGGACAAUGGGGGGAACCCUGAUCCAGCCAUGCCGCGUGUGUGAAGAAGGCCUUUUGGUUGUAAAGCACUUUAAGCGAGGAGGAGGCUACUCUAGUUAAUACCUAGAGAUAGUGGACGUUACUCGCAGAAUAAGCACCGGCUAACUCUGUGCCAGCAGCCGCGGUAAUACAGAGGGUGCGAGCGUUAAUCGGAUUUACUGGGCGUAAAGCGUGCGUAGGUGGCCAAUUAAGUCAAAUGUGAAAUCCCCGAGCUUAACUUGGGAAUUGCAUUCGAUACUGGUUGGCUAGAGUAUGGGAGAGGAUGGUAGAAUUCCAGGUGUAGCGGUGAAAUGCGUAGAGAUCUGGAGGAAUACCGAUGGCGAAGGCAGCCAUCUGGCCUAAUACUGACACUGAGUACGAAAG
rnacentral:rRNA from 1 species